rnacentral:rRNA from 1 species
AUUGAACGCUGGCGGCAUGCCUUACACAUGCAAGUCGAACGGCAGCACGGGGCAACCUGGUGGCGAGUGGCGAACGGGUGAGUAAUGCAUCGGAACGUACCUUUCAGUGGGGGAUAACGUAGCGAAAGUUACGCUAAUACCGCAUAUUCUGUGAGCAGGAAAGCAGGGGAUCGCAAGACCCUGCGCUGAUUGAGCGGCCGAUGUCAGAUUAGCUAGUUGGUGAGGUAAAGGCUCACCAAGGCGACGAUCUGGAGCGGGUCUGAGAGGAUGAUCCGCCACACUGGAACUGAGACACGGUCCAGACUCCUACGGGAGGCAGCAGUGGGGAAUUUUGGACAAUGGGGGCAACCCUGAUCCAGCCAUGCCGCGUGAGUGAAGAAGGCCUUCGGGUUGUAAAGCUCUUUCGGCCGGGAAAAAAUCGCAUGGGUUAAUACCCUGUGUGGAUGAUGGUACCGGAAUAAGAAGCACCGGCUAACUACGUGCCGGCAGCCGCAGUAAAAC